rnacentral:rRNA from 1 species
GACGAACGCUGGCGGCGUGCCUAAUACAUGCAAGUCGAACGGUCUUUUCUAUGGAAGCUUGCUUCCGCUGAGAAGAUAGUGGCGAACGGGUGAGUAACACGUGGGUAACCUGCCCAUAAGAGGGGGAUAACAUCCGGAAACGGGUGCUAAUACCGCAUAGUUUUCUUGAUCGCAUGAUUGAGAAAGGAAAGACGGCCUUUGUGCUGUCGCUUAUGGAUGGACCCGCGGCGUAUUAGUUAGUUGGUGAGGUAACGGCUCACCAAGACGAUGAUACGUAGCCGACCUGAGAGGGUGAUCGGCCACAGUGGGACUGAGAAACGGCCCAAACUCCUACGGGAGGCAGCAGUAGGGAAUCUUCCGCAAUGGACGAAAGUCUGACGGAGCAACGCCGCGUGAGUGAAGAAGGUUUUCGGAUCGUAAAACUCUGUUGUCAGAGAAGAACAAGUCGGAGAGUAACUGCUCCGGCCUUGACGGUAUCUGACCAGAAAGCCACGGCUAACUACGUGCCAGCAGCCGCCGUAAUAC